rnacentral:rRNA from 1 species
GACGUAGGGCGCGAGCGUUGUCCGGAUUUAUUGGGCGUAAAGAGCUCGUAGGCGGCUUGUCGCGUCGACUGUGAAAACCCGAGGCUCAACCUCGGGCCUGCAGUCGAUACGGGCAAACUAGAGUACUGCAGGGGAGACUGGAAUUCCUGGUGUAGCGGUGAAAUGCGCAGAUAUCAGGAGGAACACCGGUGGCGAAGGCGGGUCUCUGGGCAGUAACUGACGCUGAGGAGCGAAAGCGUGGGGAGCGAACAGG